AUGUUUGAUUUGGGUUUCUUGGGUCCGAAAUUCACUUUGUGCAAUAGGCAAGACCCCAAUAGCAAUGUCCGAUGUCGUUUAGACCGUGCCAUGGCUAACAGUGCCUCCACCGGUCUAUUUGAUGAUUGUAGCAUGGAGAAUGUCAUUGCCAAUACAUCUGAUCAUUAUCCAAUACUUGUUUACCUGGACAGCGGUUCCCAACAGCGCCACUCGGCCCCAGUACAGCAAGGUGUCAGAUUUGAGGUGAUGUGGUUACGAGCAUCUGAUUAUAAAGAGACCCUCGAACAAGCAUGGUCUGCUGGUAGAGAUGGUCGUUUGUCUUUGAGUUUGACAUGGGCGAAUUUGAAGGAUGUGGCUGGAUCUCUGUGUUCCCGAAGCAAGGGAGCUUUUGGCUCUAUUUGUAAGAACAUUGGAAAGAUGGAGCACCGACUGGCUUCGAUUAGGGCUUCUCCGCCUUCCCCAGUAUCUCUGUCAGAAGAAAAGCACAUUGAGAGUCAGCUACACGAGCUGUUUGAACGUGAGGAAAUCAUGGAACGUCAACGCUCACGGGUGGAUUGGCUAAAGGCAGGAGACCGUAAUACCGAGUUCUUCCAGGCUAGAGCAUCGGCUAUAAGGAGAACUAACAGAAUCCACUCGCUUCUCCGGGAGGAUGGUUCAACAUGCAACUCUCAAGGGCAGAUCAAGGGCUUGGUGCAGUCCUACUAUGAAAAACUCUUCACAUCUGAACCAUGCCCGACUGAUGAUGAGGUUUUGCAAGCUAUUCCUAAUAAGGUGUUCAGUGAGAUCAAGGCUAUGUUGUUUCAGAUGGGACCAACCAAGGCCCCCGGACCUGACGGAUUCCCUGCUAUUUUUACCAGACCCAUUGGAACUUCUUGGGGGAUGACAUAUGUCAGGCAGUUCGUGGUUUGUUGGAGGGGGGCCGAUUCUGGAGGGUUUUUGUGA
rnacentral:rRNA from 1 species